rnacentral:rRNA from 1 species
CCCUUAGAUGUUCUGGGCUGCACGCGCGCUACACUGAAGCGUUCAACGAGUAUUCACCUUGCCCGGGAGGGUUGGGUAAUCUUUUGAAAACGCUUCGUGAUGGGGAUAGAUUAUUGCAAUUAUUAAUCUUCAACGAGGAAUUCCUAGUAAACGCAAGUCAUCAGCUUGCAUUGAUUACGUCCCUGCCCUUUGUACACACCGCCCGUCGCACCUACCGAUUGAAUGGUCCGGUGAAAUCUUGGGAUUUUGUUUUGUUUGCAUUUAUUUGUAUCGAGACGAGAGAACUUGAGUAAACCUUACCAUUUAGAGGAAGGUGAAGUCGUAACA